rnacentral:tRNA from 1 species
GUGUAGGUAGAAUAAUUGGUUAAUUCACCAGCCUGUGAAGCUGGUUUAUGCGAGUUCAAGUCUCGUCCUACACC